rnacentral:rRNA from 1 species
UACGAAGGGGGCUAGCGUUGUUCGGAAUCACUGGGCGUAAAGGGUGCGUAGGCGGGUCUUUAAGUCAGGGGUGAAAUCCUGGAGCUCAACUCCAGAACUGCCUUUGAUACUGAAGAUCUUGAGUUCGGGAGAGGUGAGUGGAACUGCGAGUGUAGAGGUGAAAUUCGUAGAUAUUCGCAAGAACACCAGUGGCGAAGGCGGCUCACUGGCCCGAUACUGACGCUGAGGCACGAAAGC